GCGGGAAUAGCUCAGCUGGUAGAGCACGACCUUGCCAAGGUCGGGGUCGCGAGUUCGAAUCUCGUUUCCCGCUCCA
rnacentral:tRNA from 40 species